rnacentral:rRNA from 1 species
UACGUAGGUGGCAAGCGUUGUCCGGAUUUACUGGGCGUAAAGGGCGCGCAGGCGGUCUGUUAAGUGCAGGGUGAAAGCUCCCGGCUCAACUGGGAGAGGUCCUUGCAUACUGGCGGACUUGAGGGGAGUAGAGGAAAGUGGAAUUCCCGGUGUAGUGGUGAUAUGCGUAGAUAUCGGGAGGAACACCUGUGGCGAAGGCGGCUUUCUGGGCCCUACCUGACGCUGAGACGCGAAAGCGUGGGGAGCGAACAGG